CCAAUAGCGUAUAUUAAAGUUGUUGCAGUUAAAAAGCUCGUAGUUGAAUUUCGGGAUUGACGUGAUGGUCAUGCCUUAAGGGGUAUGAACUGUUACUGUUGAUUUCUCACCUUCUGGAGAAACUUGAUGUCCUUUAUUGGGUGUCUUGCGGAUCCAGGACCUUUACCUUGAAAAAAUUAGAGUGUUUAAAGCAGGCAUUUUUGCUCGAAUACAUUAGCAUGGAAUAAUAGAAUAGGACGGCAUGGUUCUAUUUUGUUGGUUUCUAGGAUCACCGUAAUGAUUAAUAGGGAUAGUUGGGGGAAUUAGUAUUCAAUUGUCAGAGGUGAAAUUCUUGGAUUUAUUGAAGACUAACUACUGCGAAAGCAUUUGCCAAGGAUGUUUUCAUUAAUCAAGAACGAAAGUUAGGGGAUCGAAGACGAUCAGAUACCGUCGUAGUCUUAACCAUAAACUAUGCCGACUAGGAAUCAGACGAUGUUAAUUUUUUAAUGACUCGUUUGGCACCUUACG
rnacentral:rRNA from 1 species